GGUGCUCCUUCUGCCACACACACCAACACCUUCUUCUUUCCGUCUUUGCUGGACUCUUUCGUCAGACUCUUGAUCACAGGGGUACCUGCGAGUUAGAGAGAGAGAGAGAUCAGAGGAGGUUAAAUAGACAUAUAAACAUUCAGCUUUGUAUCCUGACCUCUGUGCACCAUUAUUAAUGUCGAAGAAGGCCGUGCGUUCGAUCCCGUCUGCAGACGCCGCACAUGUAUACAAGCCUGCAUGUUUGUAUGACACUGUGGCUUCACUGGAGGCGUUCUUUUCCAGCUUCACCUCUAAAGAUUCACCAAACUUCUUCAGAACUUUUCCUGAUGGGCUGAGUGACAAAUCCAGGUCUGAAACACAGAGACGUCCUGAUUAAAAACA